ACAAAUAAUUGUUAGGUGAGGCUCCUAUAUGGACACAAGCUGCUGCCGCAAAAGCAUCGAGAGAUGCUUAGUUGGUAGGACAGGUCUAAUCGUGAAGGUUAAACCCAAAGCAGCUGAUAGCAAAUUUGCUAUCUACGCCCUAUAGUGCUAAAGCUCUACAAUGAUCAUGAGU
rfam:Enterococcus casseliflavus EC20, complete genome.